UUAGGCGACCGGCGCACGGGUGAGUAACACGUAUCCAACCUGCCGAUGACUCGGGGAUAGCCUUUCGAAAGAAAGAUUAAUACCCGAUGGCAUAGUUCUUCCGCAUGGUAGAACUAUUAAAGAAUUUCGGUCAUCGAUGGGGAUGCGUUCCAUUAGGUUGUUGGCGGGGUAACGGCCCACCAAGCCUUCGAUGGAUAGGGGUUCUGAGAGGAAGGUCCCCCACAUUGGAACUGAGACACGGUCCAA
rnacentral:rRNA from 1 species